rnacentral:lncRNA from 1 species
GAUCUCUAAGGGUAGGUGGGCACAUCAAGGGGCGGUGUUUCUGGGGGUAGGGGCGUGCAAGAAGGGGUGGGUGGUGUGUGUGUUUCUGUGAAUAGCGCUUUGCAACAGGAGUGUGUGUUUCUGUUUCUGGGGGUUGAGGUGCAGAACAAGGGGUGUGUGUGUGUGUUUCUGGGGAUAGGGAUGUGCAACAAUGCGGGGGGGUGUUUCUGGGGUUGUUCCUAGUAUCUUCUUUGUCCCUGGAAAAGAUGAGUUAACCGGAGGUGGACCAAUGGACUACCAAACCAAAAACAGCGCCUGUUUUCCAACUUUUCUCCACUCACCUUCCCAAUCCAGGCUCACCACUUCCAUUCACUGUGCUGAGCCAAGGUCACGGGGCUUAGACCAAGGAGAAAGAACAGACAAAUGUGACAAUCCACAGAACAGUCUGUACCCACUCCUCUUCUUUUCUUUUCUAGCCAAGAAGCCCCAGACCCACAUCCCCCAACCCAGUAUCACCGCUUUGCUCACCCAACAUCCCAAAGAGAUGCAUCACGCUCCCUGCUCCUGUGUACCAUCUGAUGUCAUCCUAAACAACAUAUGGGGUGGCUGGUUGGGGUGGGAGGGCCGAUUACUCGGGGUUAGGCUGGGCAUCGGUCAGAAGGUGGUGAGCAAUUGCAUUGUGCAUCACUUGUUUCCUGCUUUCCAGCUUAGUCCAUGCCUAUGACCUAGGCUACAAGAAACAAAGUGGUCGUGUGUGAUGGACACGCAAACAGUACAGCUCCCUACAGAGGACUCAAACACAGAGACCAGAGACAGAAAGAAAAAAAACACCCUCAGAUCCACAAAUGCCAAAAGGCCGUGCAGCAGCCCUGGCAGAGGUAAUCACAGACUUAUCUUUUAUAGAUGAAAAAGGUGACCCUGCUCAAUCUCUUUGUAAUACUGCGCUUACACGGUCAAGCCCCUUGCCAUGUGUACUGAAGCACUUUGUGAGUCCUCUGGACAGUUACACAAAUGGCUGGAUAUAUCUAGGGAGUAAAAUGUAACCAAAAAAAGGAACCGUACCCCACAAUUUCCCAAACACAAGUUAGCUGGCAACCCCUCCUAAAUAUCCCUCUAUUAUGUGAAUUCCAAGCACUUGAAAUCUAGAAGGCUUCAAGGUCUAAAGACUCUACAGCCAGAGCCAUAAUGAGCUAGCAGCCACUCAGAUUUUAGCCCUAAGCAACUAUUUGUAGAGACAGGCUGAGAACUGGUUCUCUUCAAGCCAGAGACCAUUUCACCAUCCUCAAAGCUAAAGAAACAGUUGACUGCUCUGUCAAAUCAUGUUCCUAGCAAAAAAAAUCUGGGGACUAUCUCUGGGGACCAGCCCUGAGAACCAGAUGCUGGGAGAAGAGCUGGAGACCAGGUGUGGGGACCAGGUCUCGGGAUCAGGUCUGGGAGAGCAGAUCUGCAGACCAGAUCUGGGGACCAGCUCUGGGUACCAGGUCUUGGGACCAGUUCUGGCAACUGGAUCUGGGGACGAGGUCUGCAGACCAGUUCUUUGGAUCAGAUCUGGGGGACCAGGUCUGGGGAAAAUAUCUCUGGACAAGAUCUAGAGAGCAGGUUUGGGGACCAGAUCUGGGGACAAGGUGUUACAAGUAUUAUGAAGAGCAGUUGAGGGAGCUGGUUUUGUUCAGUCUGGAGAAGAGGAGGCUCAGGCAACCUUAUCAUACUCUACAGGUACCUUA